rnacentral:rRNA from 1 species
AGGGCACCACCAGGAGUGGAGCCUGCGGCUUAAUUUGACUCAACACGGGGAAACUCACCCGGCCCGGACACUGGAAGGAUUGACAGGUUGAGAGCUCUUUCUUGAUUCAGUGGGUGGUGGUGCAUGGCCGUUCUUAGUUGGUGGAGUGAUUUGUCUGGUUAAUUCCGAUAACGAACGAGACUCUAGCCUACUAAAUAGAUCGUCGGCUUACAAACGCCGGCGAGACUUCUUAGAGGGACAGGCGGUGAUUCAACCGCACGAAACAGAGCAAUAACAGGUCUGUGAUGCCCUUAGAUGUCCGGGGCCGCACGCGCGCUACACUGAAGUGAUCAGCGUGCUUUUUCAACCUACUCUGUCAAGAGUGGGGAACCCAAUGAACCUUCUUCGUGAUUGGGAUAGGGGAUUGUAAUUGUUCCCCUUGAACGAGGAAUUCCCAGUAAGCGCGAGUCAUAAGCUCGCGUUGAUUACGUCCCUGCCCUUUGUACACACCGCCCGUCGCUACUACCGAUUGAAUGUUUU